GCAAGAUUUUCCAGCACUUUAUCCCUGACUGAUGCCCUGUUUCCGAUCCUGCCUGCCCCUGACCUGCCUAUCUCUUCUGUAUCCCGGACUCUCAAAGAAAAUGGACAGCUCAUUCCUCUCAUUCCUCCCCGUCUGUACCAGCCUGAGUUGUGACAAUUCAAUCUGUUAGCCGUCUCCUCACAUGAAUUAUGGAUGAACCCUGCAACCUUUGAAUGUGGUAGGGAUUUAGGAUGAUCGAGCAUCUUUUUGCUUUUUAAGUCUUCUUGCUCGUGUCACAGGCUCAGUGUGGAUUUGAAAGAGGUCGG